rnacentral:lncRNA from 1 species
UUUUGAGCCCCAUUUUGGGGUCCCAUUUGGGGUCCCUUUUGCUGCCCCAUUUUGGGGUCGCCCCCUCCCCAACUUGGGGGUCCCACUUUGGGGUCCCUUUUGAGCCCCUUUUGGGGUCCAUUUCGGACCCCAUUGCGCCCCAUUUCAGUUCCCCACCGCCCGUCCUUUCCCCACCCCUUUUCUGCCCCAUUUGGGAUCCCUCCUUCCACCCCAUUCGCUCUCCCAUUGCCUCCCCUUUCAGACACCUUUCAGCGCCCCCCCUUUUGGGGUCCCAUUUAGGAUCCCUUUGUGCCCCAUUUCGGUGCCCCUUUUGGGGUCUCCCCCUCCCCAACUUGGGGUCCCACUUUGGGAUCCCUUUUGAGCCCCUUUUGGGGUCUCAUUUAGGGCCCUUUGAGCCCCUUUUGGGGUCCAUUUCGGACCCCAUUGCACCCCAUUUCAGUUCCCCACCGCCAGUCCUUUCCCCACCCCUUUUCUGCCCCAUUUGUGAUCCCUCCUUCCACCCCAUCCGCUCUCCCAUUGCCUCCCCUUUCAGACACCAUUCAGCGCCCCCCCCCUUUUUGGGCUCCCAAAUUUGGGGGUGGGGGGAUCUUUCCCCCCCUCCCUCCCCACUUUGGGGUCCCCACCUCCGGUCUGCGCGUCGAAGCGCUUGGUGGCGAUGGCGUCGAUCUCGUCGAUGAAGAUGAUGGCGGGCGCGUUUUCCUUGGCCAACCUGAAGACGUCCCUCACCAUGCGAGGACCCUCCCCCAAAUAUUUCUGCACGAACUCCGAGCCCACCACCCGGAUAAAGGCAGCUGGGGGGGGGGUGGGGAGGGAGAAAGAAAGGGUCAACCCUAAAAACCCCUAAUAGACAUCCCGUAUCAUCCCAAAGGGUCCCGUAACCUUGGUGUGAUUCAGAAAGACCCCAAAACCCCCCCAAAAAAAUCCCCAAAGGUCCCAGAAACACCAUAAGACUCCCCCGAAGAUCCCAUNNNNNNNNNNNNNNNNNNCCCAUACCCACCCCAAAGAUCCCAUAACCCCCCUAAAGACCCCAGACCCACCCCAAAGAUCCCAUAAGACCCCCAAAGACCCCAUACCCACCCCAAGAGUCCCAUAACCCCCAUAAACCCC